AUACUUACCUGGUAGGGGAGACAACAUGAUCACUAAGGUGGUUUUCCCAGGGCGAGGCUUAUCCAUUGCACUCUGGAUGUGCUGACCCCUGCAAUUUCCCCAAAUGUGGGAAACUCAGCUGCAUAAUUUGUGGUAGUGGGGGACUGCAUUCGUGCUUUCCCCUA
rnacentral:snRNA from 1 species